CACGUAGGGCGCAAGCGUUGUCCGGAAUUAUUGGGCGUAAAGAGCUCGUAGGUGGUUUGCUGCGUCCGCUGUGAAAACCCAAGGCUUAACCUUGGGCUUGCAGCGGAUACGGGCAGACUAGAGGUAGGUAGGGGAGAAUGGAAUUCCCGGUGUAGCGGUGAAAUGCGCAGAUAUCGGGAGGAACACCGGUGGCGAAGGCGGUUCUCUGGGCCUUACCUGACACUGAGGAGCGAAAGCGUGGGGAGCGAACAGG
rnacentral:rRNA from 1 species